UUUUAGCUGAAGCUCUUUUGACAUGGUACUGGAAUUUGAAGGGUAUAUAUUGGUCUGUGCAUAGUUCUUUCAUAUAUCUGAUAUAACGAGUCUGAAGGUUUUCUUUUAAUUUAAAUCAGGUUCAGAAAUGGGCCAGAUUUUCUAAUUAGCUAUUGGAUCACCUAAGAUUAUUCAUAAGGCUUUAAAAGCUUCAGUUCAAUAAUUUAAAUGAAC
rnacentral:lncRNA from 1 species